UGCAGCGCAGCUUACCAUGCAGUCGAGCGGAACGAUCCUAGCUUGCUAGGAGGCGUCGAGCGGCGGACGGGUGAGUAAUGCAUUGGGAAUUCUCGGCCCGAAUARUGGGGGAACAACCUKRGGUAAAYUCAGGCUAAUACCGCAUACGUCCUUACGGGAGAAAGGCAGGGGAUCUUCGGACCUUGCGCCUAUUCGGAUGAGYCCAUGUCGGAUUAGCUUGUUGGUGAGGUAAUGGCUCCACCAAGGCGACGAUCCCGUAGCUGGUCCUGAGAGGAUGAUCAGCCACCACCUGGGACUGAGACACCGGCCCAGACUCCUACGGGAGGCAGCAGUGGGGAAUAUUGGACAAUGGGCGAAAGCCUGAUCCAGCCAUGCCGCGUGUGUGAAGAAGGCCUUCGGGUUGUAAAGCACUUUCAGCGAGGAAGAACGCCUUUGGGAUUAAUACUCCCGAGGAAAGACAUCACUCGCAGAAGAAGCACCGGCUAACUCCGUGCCAGCAGCCGCGGUAAUACGGAGGGUGCAAGCGUUAAUCGGAAUUACUGGGCGUAAAGCGCGCGUAGGUGGCUAAGUCAGCCAGGUGUGAAAGCCCCGGGCUCAACCUGGGAACGGCAUCUGGAACUGCUUGGCUAGAGUGCAGGAGAGGAAGGUAGAAUUCCCGGUGUAGCGGUGAAAUGCGUAGAGAUCGGGAGGAAUACCAGUGGCGAAGGCGGCCUUCUGGACUGACACUGACACUGAGGUGCGAAAGCGUGGGUAGCAAACAGGAUUAGAUACCCUGGUAGUCCACGCCGUAAACGAUGUCAACUAGCCGUUGGGUCCCUUGAGGACUUAGUGGCGCAGCUAACGCAAUAAGUUGACCGCCUGGGGAGUACGGCCGCAAGGUUAAAACUCAAAUGAAUUGACGGGGGCCCGCACAAGCGGUGGAGCAUGUGGUUUAAUUCGAUGCAACGCGAAGAACCUUACCUACCCUUGACAUCCAGAGGACUUUCCAGAGAUGGAUUGGUGCCUUCGGGAACUCUGAGACAGGUGCUGCAUGGCUGUCGUCAGCUCGUGUUGUGAAAUGUUGGGUUAAGUCCCGUAACGAGCGCAACCCCUAUCCUUAUUUGCCAGCGAGUAAUGUCGGGAACUCUAAGGAGACUGCCGGUGACAAACCGGAGGAAGGUGGGGACGACGUCAAGUCAUCAUGGCCCUUACGGGUAGGGCUACACACGUGCUACAAUGGCAAGUACRAAGGGUUGCAAUACCUGCGMAGUGUGGAGCCUAAUCCCCAUAUAAGAGACUUGCCUCAGUCCGGAUUGGAGUCUGCAACUCGACUCCAUGAAGUCGGAAUCGCUAGUAAUCGUGAUCAGAAUGAUUUGGUU
rnacentral:rRNA from 1 species